AUGCUUCGCAGAUGAUGAUGAUGAUGCAUGAUGUAUCUGGUGGUUAUGUUGUGAAUGAAGGGGAUAUUAUUGCAGCUUAUCAGAAAAAUGGUUUCAUCAAAUUGUUGUUUUCAUCCAGAAAGCUAAUCCCUUUAAGUUUAAGGCUUCUAAGAAACACAAGCAGGACAAAGUAUUUGUUUGGGCCUGAGAAUUCGCUUAUAGGCAGAUGAAGAUCUUUACUUCCAUUUUGUUAAGUUGCUAUAUUUUCAAGCUGAACAAUGAAAACAAAACUGCAAAGCACAGAAUGACGCUUAAUCUUCACACAGAUGGUGAUACCGAGUUGAUCAUGAUUUAGCAGACACCCAUAUAUGUAGCAAA